CUCCUGCUCGCUCUUGGCCUUGGC
rnacentral:siRNA from 1 species